UACGGAGGGAUCUAGCGUUGUUCGGAAUUACUGGGCGUAAAGCGCACGUAGGCGGCUUUGUAAGUUAGAGGUGAAAGCCCGGGGCUCAACUCCGGAACUGCCUUUAAGACUGCAUCGCUCGAAUCCGGGAGAGGUGAGUGGAAUUCCGAGUGUAGAGGUGAAAUUCGUAGAUAUUCGCAAGAACACCAGUGGCGAAGGCGGCUCACUGGCCCGGUACUGACGCUGAGGUGCGAAAGCGUGGGGAGCAAACAGG
rnacentral:rRNA from 1 species